rnacentral:rRNA from 1 species
AAUGAACGCUGGCGGCGUGCCUAACACAUGCAAGUCGGAUGUGCCCGCAAGGGUGCAUGGCAGACGGGUGAGUAACGCGUGGGGAAUCUACCUUUUAGUGGGGAAUAACGCUCCGAAAGGAGUGGUAAUACCGCAUGUGACCAUCGGCUGGGAUGCUGAUGGUGAAACCCUGGGACCUUCGGGCCAGGGGCUAGAAGAGGAUCCUGCGUCUGAUUAGCUAGUUGGCGGGGUAACGGCCCACCAAGGCUUUGACGGGUAGCUGGUCUGAGAGGACGAUCAGCCACACUGGCACUGCGACACGGGCCAGACUCCUACGGGAGGCAGCAGUAAGGAAUAUUGCGCAAUGGGCGAAAGCCUGACGCAGCGACGCCGCGUGGGGGAUGAAGGUCUUCGGAUUGUAAACCCCUUUCGGGAGGGAAGAUGGAACGAGCAAUCGUUCGGACGGUACCUCCAGAAGCAGCCACGGCCAACUUCGUGCCAGCAGCCG